CCAAUCUUUGCUACACUCAGAAUCUAAAAUUUAAAUUAAAUUAAUCAUUUCCAAUUUUAAUUCUAAAACUAUAUUGUUUUAUUAUAUCUUUCCAAAUUGAUUGUUUCCACUUAGUUUUCCAUAAUUUAAUCUCACCCUUCAGAAAAUAUUUAUUGAAAUUUAUAAAUGAGAAGUGUUUCAUUCUUGUUUUAACCAAAGUAUUUCCAAGAUCCGGAAUCAUCUUUCUGGGAUUUGAAACCUGUUUCAUUUGUACUUAUUUGUAUUUAAGAAUUAUGGAUAGUUUGUAUAACAAAAAAGAACAUCACACGGUUUUUGGGAGAGAGGGCGGUCAUCUCCCUCGCCCCCCUCAGAGACGAGCAAAGCGUCCGAAAAAAUUAUUGAUAUUUACCGAUGGUUUGACUUUCCUCUGGUCCUUCCGGGUGUUCUUUGUUCUUCAUUACCCCAUUCUAUUCUAACUUUCCUUGUUUCUUCUAUUUCCAUGGUGUGUAUUAACUUUUAAACUGUUAAUCUUCUACAUAAAUUAUUAUAAGGGGCACCCCGUGGCGUAGUCGGAGCUAAAUCAAAAAAGGGGUGGUUUAAAAAUAAUAGUACAUCACGGGUAUAAAUACUGUUGUAUAUUAUUACCUACAUGCUAUAGCCGUGAUUAAAACAUAACCGCUUAAAAAUUCCAAAGGAGGAAAUUCCAUGGCUAAAUGAUCCUCCCCACAGCAACGCAAUUGGGAACACCUUCAUCAUUUAUCGUACGUCUACAUUUCUAAAAAGUCUCCGAACACUAUCAAUUUUUCGCAUUUCCAAAAAAUAGUCUAUAUAAUAUUUUUAAAGCUC